AAAUGAUAAGUUUCUACACUCAGAAUAAAAACAACCCAAAAUUAAGAACGCCCGGGCAUCAAAACAUAGUUUAGCUGCUGUUCUUAUUUUUGGGUUGCUGUCAACACCCCAAAAUAAAAGUUCACAGCUUGAACUGACUGCCCCAAAAACUUAUCGUUCGGAAUUUGUUGCGUUUCUUGUCGCCAUGCUGAUUUCUUUUGUCAAAAACUUAUUUUUUUUUUCGAAUGAAAAAGGAGUGAAAAAUUAUUGCUACAUCAGUUGUUGGAAUUUGGAAAAGAUUGGAGGAAGUUGCAGCAACGGACCAACAAAUGGAACGGGGAUACCACAGAAAUAUAAAAGCUAUAGAGUUCGAAAAAAUUCACCUUGGGAAUUAUAGAUAAGACACCAUUAAAACACAAUGAGUUAAACACUAAUUCAAAUCAUAAUAAAAAAAAAACUUGAAA